CUGGACUCUGAGGUUCUCCCAUUCAGUAAUCAGUACUGCAGCACUGCACAGACUACUCACCAUGGACAUCAGGCUCAGCUUGGCUUUCCUUGUCCUUUUCAUAAAAGGUGUCCAGUGUGAGGUGCAGCUGGUGGAGUCUGGGGGAGGCUUAGUGCAGCCUGGAAGGUCCAUGAAACUCUCCUGUGCAGCCUCAGGAUUCACUUUCAGUAACUAUUACAUGGCCUGGGUCCGCCAGGCUCCAACGAAGGGUCUGGAGUGGGUCGCAUCCAUUAGUACUGGUGGUGGUAACACUUACUAUCGAGACUCCGUGAAGGGCCGAUUCACUAUCUCCAGAGAUAAUGCAAAAAGCACCCUAUACCUGCAAAUGGACAGUCUGAGGUCUGAGGAAACGGCCACUUAUUACUGUGCAAGACAC
rnacentral:lncRNA from 1 species